GAUGAACGCUGGCGGCGUGCCUAAUACAUGCAAGUCGAGCGAACAGACGAGGAGCUUGCUCCUCUGACGUUAGCGGCGGACGGGUGAGUAACACGUGGAUAACCUACCUAUAAGACUGGGAUAACUUCGGGAAACCGGAGCUAAUACCGGAUAAUAUAUUGAACCGCAUGGUUCAAUAGUGAAAGACGGUUUUGCUGUCACUUAUAGCUGGAUCCGCGCCGCAUUAGCUAGUUGGUAAGGUAACGGCUUACCAAGGCAACGAUGCGUAGCCGACCUGAGAGGGUGAUCGGCCACACGGGAACUGAGACACGGUCCAGACUCCUACGGGAGGCAGCAGUAGGGAAUCUUCCGCAAUGGGCGAAAGCCUGACGGAGCAACGCCGCGUGAGUGAUGAAGGUCUUCGGAUCGUAAAACUCUGUUAUUAGGGAAGAACAAAUGUGUAAGUAACUAUGCACGUCUUGACGGUACCUAAUCAGAAAGCCACGGCUAACUACGUG
rnacentral:rRNA from 1 species